UAGGGAAUCUUCGGCAAUGGACGAAAGUCUGACCGAGCAACGCCGCGUGAGUGAAGAAGGUUUUCGGAUCGUAAAACUCUGUUGUUAGAGAAGAACAAGGACGUUAGUAACUGAACGUCCCCUGACGGUAUCUAACCAGAAAGCCACGGCUAACUACGUGCCAGCAGCCGCGGUAAUACGUAGGUGGCAAGCGUUGUCCGGAUUUAUUGGGCGUAAAGCGAGCGCAGGCGGUUUCUUAAGUCUGAUGUGAAAGCCCCCGGCUCAACCGGGGAGGGUCAUUGGAAACUGUGAGACUUGAGUGCAGAAGAGGGGAGUGGAAUUCCAUGUGUAGCGGUGAAAUGCGUGGAUAUAUGGAGGAACACCAGUGGCGAAGGCGGCUCUCUGGUCUGUAACGGACGCUGAGGCUCGAAAGCGUGGGGAGCAAACAGG
rnacentral:rRNA from 1 species